AUACUUCAAAUUUAUUUUUAGAACACUCCCAACCGGCAGAUGGACAGGAAAAGAAAAUGGGAAUGUGAAUCUUCCGAUUCUGACAGUAUUGAAUGGUCUUCUAUUAAGGAAGUGCCCACUCAAGAGAGAUAUAGCUCAAUAAUACCUUCAAGAAAAGUAAAAAUACCGAAGUCACAGUUGACUAUAAAUGCAUUUUCGACUCCAAAACUAAAUAAUUUUCAGCAAAAGGAUUUCUUGACUAUCGAGAAAGUAGAUGUGACUCCAAGUAACCAAAUGCCACAUAAAAUGUUUACAACAAUUGAGAAAGUUCAAAGGACUCCAAGCAACGCAACACCAAAAAAAUUUUAUUCAACAAUUGAGAAAGUUAAUGAAACUCCAAGUAAUUCAAUGCCAAGAAAAUUUUUUACAACACCUCUGUCUGCUAGACAUUCAAGUUUUAAAAAACCAAAAAGUUUUGACUUUUUAUAAAAAUUCAAUAACCACCAUAAAAAUUCUUUUGAUUUGUUAAAGCACACUAUUUUUCUUUGAAGUAAAAGUUCAUGUGGUUUUUCUUUACUUUUGUGUUUCAUUACUUAAAUAAAUGUGCUUUAAAAUUUUGGA